rnacentral:rRNA from 1 species
CACGUAGGGCGCGAGCGUUGUCCGGAAUUAUUGGGCGUAAAGAGCUCGUAGGCGGCCUGUUGCGUCCGCUGUGAAAGCCCGGGGCUUAACCCCGGGUCUGCAGUGGAUACGGGCAGGCUAGAGGUAGGUAGGGGAGAUCGGAAUUCCUGGUGUAGCGGUGAAAUGCGCAGAUAUCAGGAGGAACACCGGUGGCGAAGGCGGAUCUCUGGGCCAUUACUGACGCUGAGGAGCGAAAGCGUGGGGAGCGAACAGG